GAUCACGAUCUGAACGGUCGAUAUUCAGUUCACAAGGAUCAACUUCCAUUCCCUUCUCUCUCACAACUCACACAUCUCAUAAAACUUCAUCAGACCUUCUCUCUCUCUCUCUCUCUCUCUCUCUAUCUUGGUGACUCAAGAAUAUCAUGCCAGAUCUCUCACUAGAUGCCAUUUCAUGACCAGAUCUGUGAGGAUUUCACUAGAUCGAUGAAGGUCUGCAACCCUUGGGGGACGGAAGAGAGUGAUGGUGGUGAUGAUCCGGUUACAGGCUUCUAUACGGUGUGGUAGUGGUGGUCCUUAACAGCCACCAUACAUUGUUGACGGUUCCAUGGUUAAAAUGAGAAGAAAGACAAUGCCAGAAAACCCUAGCCGCCACCUCCCGCAGUGGUAGCUAGGGUUCAGGCGAAGUCUCCGACGAAGCUCCGUUGUAAUGACAAUGGUUCUCACACUCGAGCUCAGGUAGAGAAGACCAGGCUUCCAGCGAAGGUAAAACCAUCAGAAGCUGAACCACCAGUGCAGGAGGUUGCAUUCGUGUAGCAGGAAAGUGUGAAUGCUUUAGGGGUAUGCAGGUAAAAUAGUUUGAAUUUAGUAGAAGAUUAUGUAUUCUUUGUUACAUGUUUUAACUGAUGGAGACUUAAUUUUGUUGCAAAGUGCACAACACAAUAGUUGAAACCUUGGUGUGCUGAUAUGACUGAACUCUAAUUUUCAUCUUAUUGGUUGCAAAUCGCAAGUGAUGGGUUUGGUUUCAAACCAAUUUAGAAGUGUUCUUUAUGUCAUAGACGACUUGGAUAAAGACUUAAUUUUGUUGCAAAGUGCACAACAUAAUAGUUGAAACCUUGGUGUGCUUAUAUGAUUGAACUCUAAUUUUCAUCUUAUUGGUUGCAAAUUGCAAGUGAUGGGUUUGAUUUCAAACCAAUUUAGAAGUGUUCUUUUUGUCAUAGAUGACUUGGAUAAUGGAUUAAAGCUAGUUCAGAUAAAAAAAAGCUGGUUAACGCUUCUCCACUUUAAAAAGGUAAGUCGUUGAGCGUUCAGAUUAUUCACAAAUUUGUUACAAAAUUCAGUGGGUUAGAAUAAAAUAUUAAGAAGUUGAGUGCCAGUAAAGAAGCAAAGAACUGUAUGGGUGCCUAAUAUAAAAUUUUAUUAGGUGCCUAUAUUGAUUUUAAGCCAUUUUUAGAACAAAAGUAUAUUGCAUUUAAGAAGUUCAGGGGUUGCCUAGGACCCUCCUGGGCUUCAAGUACAUCCGGCCCUGGCUGCAACGAUCAUGGUUUGUGGAUAUGCCAUUUAUCUGGAUUGCUACAUAGAGUUGAUCAACCAGGAUCAGUUAUUUCACAAUCCUUUUAUUGAUUGUCAAUUUUUCUAAAAUGGUUUAUUUUCUACUGGUACAAAAUUGUAGUUUAUGGAUGCUAAUUUCUUUGUCUUGCAUCUACCGGUAUCCCAUAUGCUGAAAAUCAGUGUCUAAUAUGUCAACUACAUUGAAAGAUUAGACCAACAGGUAUGUUUCAGUCGAUGAGGUAUUCAAAACUAUUUUACGAUUAACUAACUGUAAAAUUAAUAUGGAGGGACCAUCACCAAUCGAAACUCCGAAUAGACCGUAUCAGGAGUUGUGGUCCAGCAAUAGGGACGUUUCAACAUGUGUAGCACACAAAAUAUUUGUUAUUUGUAUUGAGUUGGUAUAUUGGGAUUAAAUAAUGAACUGGUGGAAUAACAGCAUGUCCAGGUCAUGCUUCAAGCUGUCUCCAUCUCUUUGGAGGCCGAUAGGUGGCUUUGGGAGGUGUGUCCUUCAAGGUCUUUUUCAAUCAGCAACAUUAAGAAAGCUUUGUUGUCGUUUAAUAGAGUGCAACCUGCUUAUGUGUUAGAGUGGAACAACCGGGUUCCUAAGAAGGUUGUUGAUGAGAUUCCCCAACAAGAAAAUAGAUCCAAUGGUCAAAAUUGAAACCCUCAAAGCAAUUUCGAGAGCAAAUUCUCAAAUCUGGAUAGCGAUUUUAGUGAUGAAGACAGUGUCGAAUCUUUUGAAAAAGAUUACCUGGUGGUGAGUCUGAUGGAUAUUAUUGGGUACUCACCUAAUGAAGCUUCAGCUGCUGUUAGCAGAUGUGGAACAGAGUGAAGCUGGUGUUUUGGUACGACAAUGAGUGGGGUUAUAGGUAAAAAGUAUGUCUUGCUCGGUCAUUCAGGCCCGUCUGGCUGCUGGUUGUGGGGAUUUGAUACGACAACGAGUUUCCUCGUACAAAUAUGGAAAAUAAAGAACAUUGAUUUGUGCAGCAAUCAGUUGUUGGAUCUAAUACCAUGAGUGUUUAAAAUUGAUUUUUGCGGGUGUUGGAUCUGAUAGAGUAUAUGGCAUUGGUCGCAGCCUCUAUCUGAAAGAGCAUAAAGUUUUGAGUUUUUUUUUAUCUUGAAAUGAUAGUGUAGAAACGAACUGAUGGUUUGAUAUUUGAACCAGACUAUGGCUGCUCUAUUGUCAUGGCUUUAAGCAAACAUGGGAAAUAAAGAAAAAUUGGUAGGCAUUUGCUAUCUUAUAAUCA